GACGAACGCUGGCGGCGUGCCUAAUACAUGCAAGUAGAACGCACAGUUUAUACCGUAGCUUGCUACACCAUAGACUGUGAGUUGCGAACGGGUGAGUAACGCGUAGGUAACCUGCCUGGUAGCGGCGGAUAACUAUUGGAAACGAUAGCUAAUACCGCAUAAUAUUAAUUAUUGCAUGAUAAUUAAUUGAAAGGUGCAAUUGCACCACUACCAGAUGGACCUGCGUUGUAUUAGCUAGUAGGUGAGGUAACGGCUCACCUAGGCGACGAUACAUAGCCGACCUGAGAGGGUGAUCGGCCACACUGGGACUGAGACACGGCCCAGACUCCUACGGGAGGCAGCAGUAGGGAAUCUUCGGCAAUGGACGAAAGUCUGACCGAGCAACGCCGCGUGAGUGAAGAAGGUUUUCGGAUCGUAAAGCUCUGUUGUAAGAGAAGAACGGGUGUGAGAGUGGAAAGUUCACACUGUGACGGUAUCUUACCAGAAAGGGACGGCUAACUACGUG
rnacentral:rRNA from 1 species